rnacentral:ncRNA from 1 species
UAUUUAUUUAGGUCUAUUAUUUUAUUAAAUAAGCAAAUAUACAUAAAUGGAAAUAUAAAUAUAUUAUGAAUUAUUAUAUUUAAUAUAAAUGUAUAUAUAAUAUUAUUUUUAAAUGUUUAACAAUAUCUAUAUAAUUAAUAAUCAUUUAUUAACUGUAUAAAUAACUGAAAUUAGAAUUAAUGUAUAAUAAAUUUUUUAAGUUAUUCAUCAUUUUUAUAAAUUACUUAAGAAAAAAGAGAUAAUUAAUAAUUUAAUAGAAAUAGUAAAGUAUUAAUAUUAUAUUAAAUUAUUUAUAAUAAUAUAUAUAUUUAUAUAUUUAAUUUAAUAAUUUAUUAGGUGAAAUUUUAAUUUAAAUAAAUUAUAUAGUUGAGUUAUUGAAAUUAUGAAAUUUUAAUAAUAAACUAGGAUUAGAUACCCUAUUAUUUAAAAUGUAAAUAAAUAAUCUAGAAUAGUAUUAGUUAUGUUCUUGAAAUUUAAAAAAUUUGGCGGUAUUUUAGUCUAUUCAGAGGAACCUGUUUUAUAAUUGAUAAUCCACGUUGGACCUUACUUAAUUUUGUUUAGUAUGUAUACCGCCGUCGUCAGAAUGUCUUAAAAAAGUAAUAAUUUUCUAAAAUUUUUAAUAUAAAUUAUGUCAGGUCAAGGUGCAGCUUAUAAUUAAGUAAAAAAUGGGUUACAAUAAAUUUAUUUUUGGAUAAAAGAUUGAAAUAUUUUUUUGAAAUUGGAUUUGAUAGUAAAAUAAAAAAGAAAAGUUAUUUGAUUUUAGCUCUAAAAUAUGUACAUAUCGCCCGUCGCUCUCGUUAUUAAGAUGAGAUAAGUCGUAACAUAGUAGAUGUACCGGAAGGUGUAUCUAGAAAGAC